rnacentral:lncRNA from 1 species
UAAAACUGGAAUUUCCGCAAGCUAAGAUAUUCGAAUAUCUGAUUUAGAUAUUCGAAUAACCUUAUUUAGUUAUUCGAAUAACCUGAUUUAGUUAUUCGAAUAACCUAAUGGCUGUUUACUAAGUUAGUCGAAUAACUAAUUAGUUAUUCGACUAACCAAUAUUUCGCAUUAAAACUGGAUUUUUCCGCAAGGCAAGAUAGUCGAAUAUCNNN